rnacentral:tRNA from 1 species
GGGGCUGUAGCUCAGUUGGUUAGAGCGCGUCACUGAUAAUGACGAGGUCCCAGGUUCAAGUCCUGGCAGCCCCA